ensembl:lncRNA
GUAAUUCCUGUCUACAUAUAUAAUUCGAGUAACUCCAGAAUACAUUCCCUGCGUUUUAAUCCAAUUAAUUUUAGUUAAUUAAAUGUAGCUCAAAAUGCUUAAGUAUGUUUUUCAUAGCCUCCUGCUGGGCCAUUUUGCGCAUGCGUUAGGACAGGCCACCAUUUUGCGCGCGGACUGAAGAAGCGGACUCUUUGUGUGCUGCAAGCGGGCUCAAGUUAAUCGCACAACUUCAUAUAAAGGUGGUCUAGCUUCGAUUUUCUUCCCCUUAUGUGUUACUGUUUAUUCAAGAAGAUGGUGUUAUUUUGGUAAGUACAUGCAAAUUCCUUACAUAUUUAUCACAACAGUAUUUGUCACAGUAUUGCAGGGACAAGUUUAUCUAUCUCAUCUUAAGGGUUCUUGUGAUUAUUAAUAUUGAUAUUAAUUAAUAUCAAUUAAUAUAUAUGAUUAAAUUUCUUUUAUCCAGGACAAAAGAAAAAAAAAAACUUGCGAAAGUGAAAUGAAAAACAGGAAUUUAGUUCUUGUGAGUUAAGAGGAUGCAGAGCAUAGGGUUAGAUGGAGGUGGAUAAUUCACUGUGGUGAUCCCUGAAGGAAACAGCCAAGAGAAAAAGGAUCAGAUUGCAAAAAAAAAUGUGGUUUGUUUGCAUACAUGAGUCUUUACGGUACCCACAGGACUCCUGAAGUAUAAGUACUCUGAAGUUUGCAGAGCAAUUUCAGAGAUGUUUGGGGCUUACAUGGCAAGCAUGUUUUUAGUUGCACAUCUAAAUUUUCUCUGCUCUCUGUUGCUGAUGGCAGAGUUCUGCCCCGCUGACCUCACAGGUGAGACACUCCCACCAGUGGACAAAGAGCACAGAAAAAUGUGUUGCCAACCACCUGAAACAGACAAAUAUCUGCUUUUUAAAACCCUUUAAACCCAUUAAAUGGACUGAUGCCAUUCAUUUCUUCUUUGAUUAACAGUAGUAACAUCCUUCAUGCACUGUAUACUAACCCAUAUGAUAAUCAUGCUUUAUGAAGUGAUGGCAAUUGCAUUGUAGCAUUUAAUGAAGAAAUAACAAAAUAAUCAUACCAAUGAUUAAGCACCAGUCUUCUUUUUUUCUGUGUGUGUGUGUGUGUGUGUGUGUGUGUGUGUGUGUGUGUGUGUGUGUGUGUGUGUGUGUGUGUGUGUGUGUGAGAGAUACAGGUAAAUGCUGAAUUCCAGUGUAUUACAACACUUCAACUGGAGAUGACCUUCGCGGCACAGUUAGACAGAAUUACACCUCAGUUGAUGACAGUUUUCCAGAAGAAGGGCGGUGUUUCUGGGCAGAAACUUGCCCACCACUUGCAGAUCAUGCAAGAGGCUGAAAGUGAUGUUAAAGUGAAAAGGGAAGCAGUUCUCAGGGCACUUUGCCUCUACCUUGGUGAAGAGGACGGAAGCCUUAUUCGGGAGUUCUUUGUAAGUCAUUUAAGUCAUUGUAAGCAAGUCAUCUAUACACACACUACUGGAUAGGAAGAUUUCUAAAAUAACACAUCAAGAGAAUGCUGUUAUGUAAAUUACCAAUGACUGGUGCUCUUGUGAAGAGGAGUGAAACUCUUGUACAACCAUCAUUUGUUCUGUGUUAUGUUUCGAUUGAACAUUUUAACUUUCAAUAAUGAAUGUUUCACGUGUGGUACAUUUGAGUAGCUUGAAGAGCAACUUUGUAAUUAUUCAGUUAUAGCUGCUGCCCUGCGUAUAAUCAGUGUUAACUCAACCGGAUAAAAAAAACAAAAAAAAACAUUCAUGAUUACCACACUGCAGCACACUGGUAACACUUUAAAGACUAUUAAUUGUUUUGAAGCGAGUAUGUUAGGUCAGAAAAUAUGUAAAACAUUCAGAAUCUUCAAGGAAGGACUAGAAUGGAAAGACAGUGGUCAAUAAGCAGUAAGGAAAACACAAGUUUAAUUUUAAGUCUAAUUACCUUAUUAAAAUGCAAUUUCUAAAUAUGGAUCGCAGAACAGCAAGUCUGAAACUGGUUAGUUUGUGGAUGCAUCAGUUUCUAAUUGUGAUACAUUAUACUGCUGGUAGUGUUUUAUUCUUUUAUGUAAGGAGUUUUGUUUUUUUUUCUUUUAUAGAGGAAGAGAAACAUUGGUUAACAUUUCUCUUGUCUGUUGUUUCUGUUUUGUUUGAAUACAGCUUUUUAAAGCUACUAGUUCAUAGGCAAAAGUUUUGUAAUUUGUAUUAUACAAAUUGCAGCAAUUUCCCUUAGAGAUGUGGAUUCUUAUUCUGUUUGCAACAAAUUUUGCAUUAAUAAAUGAUGUGAAAGAAUGUUGUAGUUUUCAUUAUUGACGUUUUUAAAAACUACAAAUCAGGGUAAGCAAUAUUUUUUAAGUAAACUUAACUUAAUUGAAAUAGAGAGAAAUUAACAAUUUGAUUGAUUUGAAUAUAAGUUUGGGACAUAAGUGUAAAGGAAACAAAUUAUUCUGGUACAUUUAACACGACCUUAGUUGGACUUACUAAUAAUAUUUGACUAAGACGUAUCCACAACAGUUAAGUUAAAGUAGCUUAAAAAUAUAUGUUGGUUUUACUCGCUUAAAUUAAAUUCAGUGUACUUAAAAAAUAUUUCUGGAUUCAAACAAAUUUAUUUCGUGCAACCACUUGUCAUAAAAAAAUUGAGUAAAUUGAACAAAACAUUUUUUUCAGUGUGCAAACCUCAACCUCAGACUUCUA